GUGGGGGAUAUUGCACAAUGGAGGGAACUCUGAUGCAGCGACGCCGCGUGAGGGAAGAAGGUCUUCGGAUUGUAAACCUCUGUCUUCGGUGACGAAAAUGACGGUAGCCGAGGAGGAAGCCACGGCUAACUACGUGCCAGCAGCCGCGGUAAUACGUAGGUGGCAAGCGUUGUCCGGAAUUACUGGGUGUAAAGGGAGCGUAGGCGGGAAGGCAAGUUGAUUGUCUAAACUAUCGGCUCAACCGAUAGUCGCGAUCAAAACUACUUUUCUUGAGUGAAGUAGAGGUAAGCGGAAUUCCUAGUGUAGCGGUGAAAUGCGUAAAUAUUAGGAGGAACACCAGUGGCGAAGGCGGCUUACUGGGCUUUAACUGACGCUGAGGCUCGAAAGCGUGGGUAGCAAACAGGAUUAGAUACCCCGGUAGUCC
rnacentral:rRNA from 1 species